UACGUAGGGGGCAAGCGUUGUCCGGAUUUAUUGGGCGCAAAGAGCGUGUAGGCGGCCAGACAGGUCCGUUGUGAAAACUCGAGGCUCAACCUCGAGACGCCGAUGGAAACCGUUUGGCUAGAGUCCGGAAGAGGAGAGUGGAAUUCCUGGUGUAGCGGUGAAAUGCGCAGAUAUCAGGAAGAACACCCGUGGCGAAGGCGGUUCUCUGGGACGGUACUGACGCUGAGACGCGAAAGCGUGGGGAGCGAACAGG
rnacentral:rRNA from 1 species